rnacentral:rRNA from 1 species
UACGGAGGGUGCAAGCGUUAUCCGGAUUUACUGGGUUUAAAGGGUGCGUAGGUGGAUUUGUAAGUCAGUGGUGAAAUCUCCGAGCUUAACUCGGAAACUGCCAUUGAUACUAUAAGUCUUGAAUUAUCUGGAGGUAAGCGGAAUAUGUCAUGUAGCGGUGAAAUGCUUAGAUAUGACAUAGAACACCAAUUGCGAAGGCAGCUUACUACGGAUCGAUUGACACUGAGGCACGAAAGCGUGGGGAUCAAACAGG